UAAUCUUCGUCAAGAUGAGGAGCUAGUGGACAUUACACUGUGUUGUGAGGGGAAGAAGAUAAAGGCACACAGGAUGAUGCUAUCUGCCUGCAGCCCAUAUUUCAGAGAUCUUCUGAAAGACAAUCCAUGCCAGCAUCCACUUUUCUUCCUCAAGGACACAUCAUAUGUGGACAUUGCAGCAGUCAUUGAGUUUGUGUACAAGGGUGAGGUCAAUGUCCUCCAGAGUCAGCUGGGCAGCUUUCUGAAGACUGCAGAGAUGCUCCAAGUCAAAGGUCUAUCAGGAGAUGAUGAUGAUGAACAGGUGCCCCGAUCUCAGCCGGCGGCGGCG